GACGAACGCUGGCGGCGUGCCUAAUACAUGCAAGUAGAACGCACAGUUUAUACCGUAGCUUGCUACACCAUAGACUGUGAGUUGCGAACGGGUGAGUAACGCGUAGGUAACCUGCCUGGUAGCGGGGGAUAACUAUUGGAAACGAUAGCUAAUACCGCAUAAUAUUAAUUAUUGCAUGAUAAUUGAUUGAAAGAUGCAACUGCAUCACUACCAGAUGGACCUGCGUUGUAUUAGCUAGUAGGUGAGGUAACGGCUCACCUAGGCGACGAUACAUAGCCGACCUGAGAGGGUGAUCGGCCACACUGGGACUGAGACACGGCCCAGACUCCUACGGGAGGCAGCAGUAGGGAAUCUUCGGCAAUGGACGAAAGUCUGACCGAGCAACGCCGCGUGAGUGAAGAAGGUUUUCGGAUCGUAAAGCUCUGUUGUAAGAGAAGAACGGGUGUGAGAGUGGAAAGUUCACACUGUGACGGUAUCUUACCAGAAAAGGACGGCUAACUACGU
rnacentral:rRNA from 1 species